rnacentral:rRNA from 1 species
GACGAACGCUGGCGGCGUGCCUAAUACAUGCAAGUCGAACGCAGUGGGGACGGGUGAGUAACACGUGGGUAACCUCCCAUCAGAGGGGAUAACACUUGGAAACAGGUGCUAAACCGAUACUGAUGGAUGGACCAGCGGUGCAUUAGCUAGUUGGGGAGGUAACGGUUCACCAAGGCACAGAUGCAUAGCCGACCUGGGAGGGGGAGCGUCCACACGGGGACUGAGACACGGACCAUACUCCUACGGGAGGCAGCAGUAGGGAAUCUUCGGCAAUGGACGAAAGUCUGACCGAGCAACGCCGCGUGAGUGAAGAAGGUUUUCGGAUCGUAAAACUCUGUUGUUAGAGAAGCGGUAUCUAACCAGAAAGCCACGGCUAACUACGUGCCAGCAGCCGCGGUAAUUC